GAUGAAGAACGUAGCGAAAUGCGAUACUUGGUGUGAAUUGCAGAAUCCCGUGAACCAUCGAGUCUUUGAACGCAAGUUGCGCCCGAAGCCUCGGCUAAGGGCACGUCUGCCUGGGCGUCACGCAUCGCGUCUCCCCCAAACCGCCAAGGCGGAGGGGAAGGAAGAUGGCUUCCCGUGCCUCACCCGGGCGCGGUUGGCCUAAAUUUGGAGCCCGCGGCACUUAGCUCUCGCGGCGAUAGGUGGUGAACAAGGCCUUGGCCGUGCAAACAACCCGCUGCGAAGCUCUAUGUCACGUGCGCUCGUCGGACCCUUUGAAGUUGCCUUUGGUGACUUAAAACCUUUGCGACCCCAGGUCAGGCGGGGCUACCCGCUGAAUUUAAGCAUAUCAGCGGAGGA
rnacentral:misc_RNA from 1 species